rnacentral:lncRNA from 1 species
UUCUUCUAUAUAUGACAAUGGAGCAGGGAAAUUUCUGGUUACGCUGAAUCCUCUGUGGAGUCCUCAAAGUCAUCUCCACAUCCUUUGGCUGAGGGGGAUACCGACCCAGUAAGCUCAUCACAUGAUGAGGCUUCUGGGAUGGGCCUGUCCCCUUCUGUUUCAGAGUACUCUGCUCCACCACCGGAAGGGGACUCACUCUUAUUCCCUGACAACACCUUUCAUGUCUGGCUUGGUCAUGUCCACAGAAUGGAAGAUGACAGGAUCCCCAAUGACGUGCUCUGCAGGGAGCUGUCUUCUGGCACCAGGCCAAUUGGCAGACCAGCUCUACAUUACAAAGAUGUCUGCAAACGUGACAUGAAGGCUGGCAACAUCAGCCCGUCCAUGUGGGAAUCCUCCAGUGCCUGGAGACAGGCAGUCAAGUCCUGUAUCCAUAGCAGUGACCAGAGGAGGAAUGACUGCUGGGAGGAGCGCAGGGAGAAAAACAACAACAUGGUGCAUCUGCUGCAGCACAACAGGACACCAUCUGCUCCAGCUGCAACAAAACCUGUCUCUUGCAUUUCAGUCUCUACAGCCACAGCAGGCACUGCAACCUGCCAACAGCUUGACUUCACCCCCAAAGGCACACUCCUCUACUGUCUCACAAGACAGAUGGAUGCCAACAAGUGGGGCGGGGGGAUCAGACACUUUCUCGCCUCACUUUUUAUUGAGUGGGAAAGGCAGAGAUAAGUUAAUGUUGGAGCUAGGGUAGUGUUAGCCAUAGGGGAGGCAGAGAUAUUCACAUCUCUCACACCCAUCAUAUAUCAUUUCAGGUUCAGGUGUUGGGGAAAGCAAAACUGGCUCCAGGUUUGAGAAGAGCCCAGCAACACAUUGCCUUCAGAUGGGGCUCCAUCAGGUUCAGAUCUGCAGUUGGGCAUGAAGGUCACUGGGUGACCUAGGACCAGUCACAACCUCUCAGCCAAGCCUACCUCACAAGAUUGUUGUGAUGAUGAAAUGGAGGGGAAAGGAAAAGAGCUAUGUAUACUGCCUUGAGCUCCCCGGAGGAAAGGUUACAUAUAAAUAUAGCGAGUAAAUAAACAACAGAAUCCACAAAGACAUUUACACAUCCUUAUGAUUUGCUUCAGUUGUUAAUACGUAUGUUAAAAUUCUGUAUGGUUUUAAACUUGAUUGUAAGUCUUCUAGAGAUUGCCCUAUCUUAGGCAAGUAAAUAAUAAUGAUGAUGAUAAAAUCAUUACUCAAGAAGUGUAGCUUUAAAAAGUCAUAGAAGAACUUUAUUCAGUCUAAAUUGUUUCCCCUCAACUCUAGCAUUCAAAAAUUUCUUUCUUUCACUCUUUCUUUCUUUCCCCUAUAGCUUGAAAUGAAAUGAUUAAGGCCAGUUAUUUGCAGCUCACAACUGCUUUUCUCUCCAUUAGACACAUGGAAGAAAAGGGCACUGGCAGGUACCCUGGCGUGGCAUUUACUUUUGCCUACUUGACAUUGCGAGUGCCAAGCAUUCGUCUAGCAUUCAAAUCCCAGUGGAUGACUUUCCAGAGUAUGCCCCCCUCCCUCGCAACGCUUAGACACUGCUCAUCAGAGUUCUGGCAUUCAGUCAAACAGGCAUUUGUCAUGGCUUAUAAUGCUUGUUAAUGAAGAAGCAUCAAAAAUUAAUGCUCAUUAGGAUGCUCAUUAAUAUGUAUGGAAAUCCUGGAUUUGACUUAAUUAAAUGAAGCAUCACUUCAUGUUGGCAUCCCAUCACCAAAAUUAAAAAAUGUGUGGGUGGGUGAGGGAGAACUAGCAUACUGUACAACAGUGAAAUUAAUGAACAUGGGCCUGCCCACUUUUCCCUCUGGCCCCAGCCCACACUGGUAUGUGGCCCUGGGGAGGUUGACCACAAGGGAAUGUGGCCCUCGAGCUAAAAAGAUCUCUCUGUCCUCCUGGUGUAGGCAAUAAUAAGCUAGAGUCUGGACACUAAAUGAACCCAUAGCCUGUUUCAGUAGAAGGCAGCUUUUGUUUUCACAGUUUUCACAGAAGUUAAACUUGCUUGUUAGCAAGGCAUUUUAAGUAUUUUUAAGUGUGGGAUUGGAUAGGAUUGCCUUGCUGUUUUUAGCUGCCUUCCUCUGUGUUAUUAGCAUUUGUUUUGAUUAGUCUGUUUCAAUGUUUUAUUGCUGUACAAAUUUGGCUGUCGAUCCUGCCAUAUAUUGCAUCCUGCUCUGGUAUCAGUGUUGAUGAAGUGUUCAGUAUAAAUGUGUUUAAUAUAUAGAAUAUAUAAUGUACUCCUUGUAAGUUCCUCCAGAGAUUGCUCCACAACUUGUGUGCUCCCAGUCCAGCUGAAAAAGGACACCAUUAAAACUGAAAUCUCUCUUCUCUCUCUCUCUUUUGUUCUGUCAACACAUGAGGUGGAUUUGACUUCAUAAAUGAUAUGAAGAAUGCGAGAAAAAAUGUAUUCUGUUCAUCAUGAAUAAGAAAUGAACAGAAUAAUUUAAUAUACAUACAUUAAUGGCAUCUGCCUUGAUACCAGUGUCAAUGUCUUCUGCAUUGUGCUGUAUCCAUUCUUGUUGACUAGCAGUAAAGUAGCAUUUUUGGUAGGUCUAGACAGAGUGAAUUUCCAUAAGAAUGGGCUGAUCACAUUUGCUUUCCUCUGCAGAUCCUUUCUCUCUUUGAUAUAUCCUACAUUUUCAUUUUAUUUUUGUGCAUUUAAACAGCUUCCAGCAUCAUUUGUUCUUUGGACUAUAAAAGCAAAAUCAGUGAGUACCUCAAAUGUCAGGGUGAUCUGUAUAAUUCUCUAGCUUAUUAAUAGAAUUGACAAAAAUGUGAGCUUCUUCCAUGACUCGCUGAACUAGUUAACAGUAACUUGUUUCCUGAAUGGUGUUGAAGAAAACCAACCAGCCAUACGCUAGUAGAUUAAGUUGGAUUUUUAUUUAUGGUGUUUGUCAAUUGUACCCCCCCCCCCCCCAAAUCUAUGAAGUCUACAGCAUCUGACAGGAACACCAGUUUGCACCGAAGGUAUGAAAUCACUUUCAGAUUUCACUAAGAAGUAGAACACCAACAAACUUGUCAACCUUUGAAGUGUGGUGUUGAUGUUUGAAUCUUCCUUGUUUCAAAGUUAUCUUACUUGGAACCUUUCCCCUUCUGCAUCAGAAUAUUAAGGCCAUAUCUGUAAACAAUGCAGUGGUACCUCUGGUUAUGAACUUAAUUCAUUCUAGAGGUCUCUUCUUAACCUGAAACCGUUCUUAACCUGAGGUACCACUUUAGCCGGUGCGUGAUUUCUGUUUUCAUCCUGAGGUAAAGUUCUUAACCUGAGGUACUACUUCUGGGUUAGCGGAGUCUGUAACCCGAAGUGUUUGUAACCCAAGGUGUUUGUCACCUGAGGUACCACUGUAAUUGAGAUUUCCCUCUUCACUGACUUUUUCAUCUAUACACUUUUAGAAAGCAGGUCAAGAGAGACACUACUUUUGGUAGGUUUUAGGAGGAGGGGUGGGGUGGGGGUGAAUAAUUGUUAGUUGAUUUUUCACAGCAGAAUUAUGAUUUGAUUUGAGACUCUUAUUAUGCUUUUCGAACAACAAUGUUGUGCUCAAAGUUGCUAACAAUAAUAACUACAGCAUUAGCCAACAUUUCUAUCAACAUAGUAAUGCCCUGAGCUCCUUGGAAGAAAAGGUGGUUUAUAAAUGUAAUGUAAUAAUAAAUAAUCAUUUUUUUUAAACCACUAGUGCAUAAAUAAAGCAAAAACAAACAGAUUCAGGAAAUGAUUAAUGCGGCUGCUGAGCAUUGCCUGAAAUUGAUGGAGGAUUUAAUGCUCCCCUUUUUCUUCUGUGUUGAGUUAUAAAAAUGUGUGUGUGUGUGCUAUUUUGUUUCAUUUUAUAGGUGUAGGUUCUGGGGUCUGUUGGCAUAGAUGAUAAAACAAAAAAAAGCUUAAACAAACAAACAUUCUAUAGCAGUGGUUCCCCAUUAGGGGUCUGGGGACCUCUGAGGGUCCACGUAACACACCCAAGGGAUCCCUGGCACCAUCCCCUGCCUGGGACUCACUUAUUUUGUUAAUUGCACAGUGAAAGCCUUGCACGGAUCAUCCAGCCUCUGCUCACAACCAACACCUGCUUGCUGGCAGGGGGAAAAACUUGUGAAAGAUUUGCUGGAUAGCAAGUGAGCUGGGAUUGGGCACAAACCUCUGAUACAGUUUCUUAGGGCUCUUGCGAUUGGAGGGGGGAGAGUGCAAACAGCUCACAUGCUUAUCAUUCAAAACAAUGUAAGGGAUCCCUUCUCCUCACUCUCUAGUUUUUAAUUGAAAAGAAAUAAGUGCUUUCAAUGACUAACAAGUUUAAAUGACUCUCUCACUGCUUGUAGGUAGGGUUUCAGUGAAUCUUGCUUUAUGAGAUUGGGAUUCAUGUCUCAUCUUGGAAGUACAACAUGGGAAAUAGCUAAGCAAAUUGCCACUAUGAUUAGCACAACAGCUCAGCCUCUGAUGAUAUAGUUUAGUGCUAGGGCUGGGCAAAACUUUUCAACAUUGUGAUAUAUCAACAGCUAAAUACUAGCAUAUGCCAAUAUAUCACGAUGACUGAAACUACUACUACUAUUACCAACAUUACACAAUUCCAGCUGUUUUCUACUCAGUCUUCACCAAUACUUUAUCAGGCCCUGAACAAGCCUUCACCUAUGUCUUGAGGAUGCACUCAGCAGAACCAUAUGCUGCAAAGUUUUGCUAAGAUGUACCAUCUCAGAUUACAAGUAAGGAAUAGCAUGUUUGAAUACUCUCUCAUAUAAAAAGCCUUCUGCAUAUAGAACGCUUGCAAGUUAGGGACACUUGCUUUUUAAAAUUUAGUUGUAGUGGAGCAAUGGAGACAUGUUUUUCCUACUGUCUGUGGAUUGGCAAUUUGUGGGAAUAUCACAAAUUUUAUGGUCUGUUUUACAGUAUACCUAAAAUCCUUUGCUUAUUAGGGGUUAUCCCACAUUUUCUUAC